AGGUUCAGGAUACCAGUAGCUCUGCAUCCCAGCUUCCAGGCUGCUCUUCAGGGCUAGGCAGGUACUGACAUCCCCAGCGGAUCCAUCCACUGGUGCCAGGGAAGAGAAGAAUGAUGCAAUAAAACCUUAGAUAAAGCCCCCGGGCUGUGCCCUCCUCCAUUGCCAAGCCCAGCUCUGCCUUAGCCCACACCUGGGGUCCGCCCACUGCCCACGCAAAUCUGUCUUGGCAGGAGUUGUUGUUGUUGUUGUUGUUGUUGUUGUUGUUGUUGUUGUUGUAGUGGUGUGUGUCUUUGGCGAGGACAGGGCGAGUUUGUCAGGAGGCAGCUUAGGGAAGUCUCCUGUGGAGACAGAGGAAGUGUUGGUGGCGGAGGCCGUUGUUGCAGGAGCCUUGAGGUAGAUGUUUGCUGCAGCCCUUGUGCAGGAGGAGCAGGUGGCUCUGUGAAGGCUUUGUUGUGUGAGCUUGUGUCAGGGGAGAACAGGGAAGCGUUGUGGUGUUGGAGGCUUCUUGGCAGGUAGUUGUUGUUGGACGUGGUCAGGUGCAGGGCAGAGGCUGCAGCUGGCUUUGCCUGGGCGGUGUGGCGCAAAGGGUGCCAAGAGCGGAUAAGGAGUGGGCUUUUCUGGAGGGCACUUAAAGCUAGGGAUCAAUCUGGCCACCACAGGCACGUUCCCUGGCCCUUUACGGGGUGUCCAGCAGCAGGGGCUGGUCACGAAGGAGAAAGCCUGGGAGCAGAAGACGGCGGGGAGGAGAAGAUGAGGACGUCGGGGGACCUGCCAGCGGAGGCUGAAGAAGAACGAGGACGUCGGGGGACCUUCAGCAGUGGAUGAAGAAGAGGAGGAUUCGUCCA